rnacentral:lncRNA from 1 species
GCUAAGCAUUCUGUGUCUUAGCGGCACUUAUUGAAACAUCUGUUAGGAGUUCCGUUUCUGUCCGUCCUUGUUUAGUCAGUUCUUGUCACUUAAAGCGCGGGGAAGGUACACUGGUAAACACAAACAGAGAUCCUCAAACACGAGUGUUGCAAGUCAGUUAAUGCGACCUGGACACAGAUGGGAACACCUGAACAUCAGCAAUAUGUCUGUCACUCUCCUUUGAAAACAUUCUCCAACAGGCCUUGUAAAAGGCCGACAGGCUCACUGUCUUGAUUUUUCUCAAGGAAGAAAAACCCAUACGCACUCCAAUGGAUCCUAACCAGAUCUAAUAUAGAACAGCUGCGCGCUUAUGAACGCAUGGGGAAGAUUGAAAAGCACAGAUUAACGCAUCCCAGAAAAGGAGCCAGGUUUGAUCAGACACAUUUCUGGGGUCACCGAGUUCAUAUCUGCUUGUGGAUUAUCUAUCGGAAUAUGUCAUUCCGCAGAGAAGGGAGCAGCUAAAGGGAGCCUGCCCUGCCGUGUUCUGCCUGUGUGUGCUCUGAGACAUCCCAGGGGUAUUUAUGAGCGGGGUGAUCUUAAGCGAUGCUCGCUUAAAACCCAAGAACGGCAGCAGAAAUAAAUUAACUGGAGAAUCUAUUGUUAAUUUGUACAUGAAUCCCUUACAAGCAAGGUAAAACGGUUCAGUAAAUUAUGGAUUUACAAAUAAACAGGAUCCGGGGGCCUUGGAAAGCACUUUGAUUGGAAUAUAGAUCCUUUUUUCCCCUCAAAAACAAUUUCUAUUCCAACUUCAGACAGAAGGAACAUAAACUCAGCCAGCUCUGAAAACUGAAAGGGACUCUUUCCUGGUGAGGCAAGCGAUAGGGGUGACAACUCCCUGGAGCUGUCUACUUACCACAAACUGGAGGGUGAGACCACUUUCUAACUGAGCCGGGUGAAUUCUACACUGUCGCCACCUCAGGCUAAGGCUACCUGUCUUCUUCCUGCUUUCCUCCUAGGAGGGUUAACAAGAGACAGGCCAUAAAUCCUCCCCAACAGGAGUGUGCUGUUGUUCUCCUAGACAAAGGGCAGGGCUCCCUCUGAAAAUCUAAAACACGGUUGUAAGGGUAUGGGUUUAUGUUUGCUUUGACAUUGCACACGACCACCUUUCUUUCUUAACUUACAGCUUCUGUUUUUCAGAAGUUUGGGUACAAUGGUAGAAUUCACACGUGAUAGACCAUGCUGAUUUCCAAAUACAUGCUGACCUUUUUGUUGUUGUUUUGUUUU